AUGAACGCUAGCGGCAGGCUUAACACAUGCAAGUCGAGGGGCAGCAUAAUGGUAGCAAUACUAUUGAUGGCGACCGGCGGACGGGUGCGUAACGCGUAUGCAACCUACCCUUUACAGGGGGAUAACACUGAGAAAUCGGUACUAAUACCCCAUAAUAUUCUGGGAGGCAUCUUUCGGAGUUGAAAGCUUUGGUGGUAAAGGAUGGGCAUGCGUUGUAUUAGCUAGUUGGUAAGGUAACGGCUUACCAAGGCGACGAUACAUAGGGGGACUGAGAGGUUAACCCCCCACAUUGGUACUGAGACACGGACCAAACUCCUACGGGAGGCAGCAGUGAGGAAUAUUGGUCAAUGGACGGAAGUCUGAACCAGCCAUGCCGCGUGCAGGAAGACGGCUCUAUGAGUUGUAAACUGCUUUUGUACGAGGGUAAACGCAGAUACGCGUAUCUGCCUGAAAGUAUCGUACGAAUAAGGAUCGGCUAACUCCGUGCCAGCAGCCGCGGUAAUACGGAGGAUCCAAGCGUUAUCCGGAUUUAUUGGGUUUAAAGGGUGCGUAGGCGGUUUAGUAAGUCAGCGGUGAAAUUUUGGUGCUUAACACCAAACGUGCCGUUGAUACUGCUGGGCUAGAGAGUAGUUGCGGUAGGCGGAAUGUAUGGUGUAGCGGUGAAAUGCUUAGAGAUCAUACAGAACACCGAUUGCGAAGGCAGCUUACCAAACUAUAUCUGACGUUGAGGCACGAAAGCGUGGGGAGCAAACAGGAUUAGAUACCCUGGUAGUCCACGCAGUAAACGAUGAUAGCUCGUUGUCGGCGAUACACAGUCGGUGACUAAGAGAAAUCGAUAAGCUAUCCACCUGGGGAGUACGUUCGCAAGAAUGAAACUCAAAGGAAUUGACGGGGGCCCGCACAAGCGGAGGAACAUGUGGUUUAAUUCGAUGAUACGCGAGGAACCUUACCCGGGCUUGAAAGUUACUGACGAUUCUGGAAACAGGAUUUCCCUUCGGGGCAGGAAACUAGGUGCUGCAUGGUUGUCGUCAGCUCGUGCCGUGAGGUGUCGGCUUAAGUGCCAUAACGAGCGCAACCCUUAUAUCCAGUUACCAUCAGGUCAUGCUGGGGACUCUGGAUAGACUGCCGUCGUAAGAUGUGAGGAAGGAGGGGAUGACGUCAAAUCAGCACGGCCCUUACGUCCGGGGCGACACACGUGUUACAAUGGUAGGUACAGAGGGCAGCCACCCAGUGAUGGGGAGCGAAUCUCGAAAGCCUAUCUCAGUUCGGAUUGGAGGCUGAAACUCGCCUCCAUGAAGUUGGAUUCGCUAGUAAUCGCGCAUCAGCCAUGGCGCGGUGAAUACGUUCCCGGGCCUUGUACACACCGCCCGUCAAGCCAUGGGAGUUGGGGGUGCCUGAAGUUCGUGACCGAAAGGAGCGACCUAGGGCAAAACCGAUGACUGGGGCU
rnacentral:rRNA from 1 species